rnacentral:rRNA from 1 species
GAGUUUGAUCCUGGCUCAGGACGAACGCUGGCGGCAUGCCUAACACAUGCAAGUCGAACGGAGUUGUUAUUUGGAAGUUCUUCGGGAUGGAAGGAUAAGAACUUAGUGGCGGACGGGUGAGUAACGCGUGGGUAACCUGCCCUUUUGUGGGGAACAACUUCGAGAAAUCGGAGCUAAUACCGCAUAAUAAUAGAGAAUCGCAUGAUUCUUUAAGGAAAGAUGGCCUCUGAGAAUGCUAUCGCAAAAGGAUGGACCCGCGUCUGAUUAGCUAGUUGGAAGGGUAACGGCCUACCAAGGCAACGAUCAGUAGCCGGCCUGAGAGGGUGAACGGCCACAUUGGGACUGAGACACGGCCCAAACUCCUACGGGAGGCAGCAGUGGGGAAUCUUCCGCAAUGGGCGAAAGCCUGACGGAGCAAUGCCGCGUGAGUGAAGAAGGCCUUCGGGUUGUAAAACUCUGUCCUUAUCGAAGAGAGGUGGGUAUGUGAAUAAUGUACUCAUAGGACGGUAGAUAAGGAGGAAGCCCCGGCUAACUACGUGCCAGCAGCCGCGGUAAUACGUAGGGGGCGAGCGUUGUCCGGAAUCACUGGGCGUAAAGGGCGCGUAGGCGGUUUAAUA